rnacentral:rRNA from 1 species
UACGGAGGGUGCAAGCGUUAUCCGGAUUUACUGGGCGUAAAGGGCGCGUAGGCGGCCACCGCAAGUCAGUUGUGAAAGCUCUGGGCUUAACCCAGAAAGGUCAACUGAUACUGCGGGGCUAGAGUGCAGAAGGGGCAACUGGAAUUCUCGGUGUAGCGGUGAAAUGCGUAGAUAUCGAGAGGAACACCUGCGGCGAAGGCGGGUUGCUGGGCUGACACUGACGCUGAAGUGCGAAAGCUAGGGAGCGAACGGG